AUUGAACGCUGGCGGAAUGCUUUACACAUGCAAGUCGAACGGCAGCACGGGGGCAACCCUGGUGGCGAGUGGCGAACGGGUGAGUAAUACAUCGGAACGUGCCCGGUCGUGGGGGAUAACGUAGCGAAAGUUACGCUAAUACCGCAUACGAUCUGAGGAUGAAAGCGGGGGACCUUCGGGCCUCGCGCGAUCGGAGCGGCCGAUGUCAGAUUAGGUAGUUGGUGGGGUAAAGGCCUACCAAGCCGACGAUCUGUAGCUGGCCUGAGAGGACGACCAGCCACACUGGGACUGAGACACGGCCCAGACUCCUACGGGAGGCAGCAGUGGGGAAUUUUGGACAAUGGGCGCAAGCCUGAUCCAGCCAUUCCGCGUGCAGGACGAAGGCCUUCGGGUUGUAAACUGCUUUUGUAUGGAACGAAAAGGCUCUGGCUAAUACCUGGGGCUCAUGACGGUACCGUAAGAAUAAGCACCGGCUAACUACGUG
rnacentral:rRNA from 1 species